AGCAGAGUGGCGCACUGGAAGCGCACUGGGCCCAUAACCCAGAGGUCGAUGGAUCAAAACCUUCCUCAGUUG
rnacentral:tRNA from 1 species